CCAAGGUAAAUAGAAGAUAUCUUCUUUCUUCUUCUUAGUCCUCUUGGCCCCCUUGGGAGCAUAGGGCGUCCACCAUGGAUCUCCACCUCACUCUCUUCUGUGCAGUGGUCUUUGCUUCUUGCCAGGAGGUCCCGAUCUUGUUUAACUCGUCAAGCAUAGACCGUCUCCAGUUGUUUUUUGGUCUCCCUGGCUUCCUCUUUCCUUGUGGGUUGUAGUCCAGAGAUUGUCUUGUUAUGUUUGUUUCUUGUUUUCUGAGUGUAUGCCCGAUCCAUCUCCACUUUCUCCUUUUGAUUUCUUUGUUGAUUCGCUCCUGGUUUGUUUGUUUCCACAGGUCUGUAUUUGUAAUUUUUCUGGGCCACCAUAUCCUCAGUAUGUAUCGGAGGCAGUUGUUGAUGAACACUUG